CCUACGGGAGGCAGCAGUGAGGAAUAUUGGUCAAUGGACGAGAGUCUGAACCAGCCAAGUAGCGUGAAGGAUGACUGCCCUCUGGGUUGUAAACUUCUUUUAUAUGGGAAUAAAAUGUUCCACGUGUGGGAUUUUGUAUGUACCAUAUGAAUAAGGAUCGGCUAACUCCGUGCCAGCAGCCGCGGUAAUACGGAGGUUCCGAGCGUUAUCCGGAUUUAUUGGGGUUAAAGGGAGCGUAGGUGGAUUGUUAAGUCAGUUGUGAAAGUUUGCGGCUCAACCGUAAAAUUGCAGUUGAAACUGGCAGUCUUGAGUACAGUAGAGGUGGGCGGAAUUCGUGGUGUAGCGGUGAAAGGCUUAGAUAUCACGAAGAACUCCGAUUGCGAAGGCAGCUCACUGGACUGCAACUGACACUGAGGCUCGAAAGUGUGGGUAUCAAACAGGAUUAGAUACCCUGGUAGUC
rnacentral:rRNA from 1 species